rnacentral:rRNA from 1 species
UACGUAGGGUGCAAGCGUUAAUCGGAAUCACUGGGCGUAAAGCGUGCGCAGGCGGUGAUGUAAGACAGUUGUGAAAUCCCCGGGCUCAACCUGGGAACUGCAUCUGUGACUGCAUCGCUGGAGUGCGGCAGAGGGGGAUGGAAUUCCGCGUGUAGCAGUGAAAUGCGUAGAUAUGCGGAGGAACACCGAUGGCGAAGGCAAUCCCCUGGGCCUGCACUGACGCUCAUGCACGAAAGCGUGGGGAGCAAACAGG